rnacentral:rRNA from 1 species
UAAUGCCUAGGAAUCUGCCUGGUAGUGGGGGACAACGUUUCGAAAGGAACGCUAAUACCGCAUACGUCCUACGGGAGAAAGCAGGGGACCUUCGGGCCUUGCGCUAUCAGAUGAGCCUAGGUCGGAUUAGCUAGUUGGUGGGGUAAUGGCUCACCAAGGCGACGAUCCGUAACUGGUCUGAGAGGAUGAUCAGUCACACUGGAACUGAGACACGGUCCAGACUCCUACGGGAGGCAGCAGUGGGGAAUAUUGGACAAUGGGCGAAAGCCUGAUCCAGCCAUGCCGCGUGUGUGAAGAAGGUCUUCGGAUUGUAAAGCACUUUAAGUUGGGAGGAAGGGCAGUAAGUUAAUACCUUGCUGUUUUGACGUUACCGACAGAAUAAGCACCGGCUAACUCUGUGCCAGCAGCCGCGGUAAUACAGAGGGUGCAAGCGUUAAUCGGAAUUACUGGGCGUAAAGCGCGCGUAGGUGGUUUGUUAAGUUGGAUGUGAAAGCCCCGGGCUCAACCUGGGAACUGCAUCCAAAACUGGCAAGCUAGAGUACGGUAGAGGGUGGUGGAAUUUCCUGUGUAGCGGUGAAAUGCGUAGAUAUAGGAAGGAACACCAGUGGCGAAAGGCGACCACCUGGACUGAUACUGACACUGAGGUGCGAAAGCGUGGGGAGCAAACAGGAUUAGAUAC